GGAUCGAUGAUGACUUCCAUAUAUACAUUCCUGGAAAGCUGGAAUAAAAAUGAGUGAAAAUCCUAUACCGCCAUCCUCAUCGAACUGAGGUCC